rnacentral:lncRNA from 1 species
UAUCAUCCUAUAGAAGUAUACCUACAUCCAUUAAAAGAUGCAGUACCCCCGGCAAAAAGGACGUGAGUACAUGUGGAAUAGUACUCGCAUGUAAGGCAAACAGAACAACAUAUCAAAUCAUGGUAAUUCAAUAAGAGGCGUAUACAGUACAUCAAAAACUAUGAAACAUCCCAUAGAUUCACAUUUUCAGGUCUCGUUAUGCUUACAUCAUUUUAAACUUCUUUUAGGAUUACCUGAGCCAUAUGAACUAUGCGUGGAAUACAUAAUAUAAAGUAAUUGAAACAAUAUGUACAAACAAGGCCAAUGAAAAUGGCACAUAAUGUCUGCAUUAACAAUGCAUGUUACUAGAUCGUCCAUAUCCCUCUCUUAUCUUACCCCUAUGCAUUUCAUAGACCGUCCUUAGUGUUCACAUAUCAUAUUAUACAUAGACCGUUCAUAGGAUUCCAAACACAAUACACGUAUGUGUUUCUUAGACCGUUCAUAGGAUUUCAUACACAAUACACCUAUGCAUUUCAUAGACUAUUCAUAGGAUUUACUUACACAAUACACUUGUGUAUUCAUAGACUGUUCACAGGAUUCACAUAUACCAUGUAAUACACAUGUGUGUUUCAUAGAUUGUUCGCAGUGUUUACUUACACAAUACACCUGUGCGUUUCAUAGACCGUUCACAGUGUUUACUUAUAUAAUACACCUGUGCAUUUCAUAGACCGUUCAUAGUUUUUACUUACACAAUACACCUGUGCGUUUCAUAGACCGUUUACAUGAUUCACAUAUACCAUACAAUACACCUGUGUGUUUCAUAGACCGUUCACUGUGUUCAUUCAUAUUAUAUUAUACACCUAUGCAUUUCAUAACCCGUCCAUAGGGUUCACAUAUUAUACACAUAUGCGUUUCAUAUCCCGUCUAUAGGGUUCAUAACACAUCAUUAUGCACAUAACCAGUUAUAAACUCAAAGUGGCAUGAUUAACAUUAUAUUAAGGUCAUAAGUUCCCGGAUCAUUGGAACACUUCAUGUUCAUGCUCAUCAUAGAGAAACAUAGCUCAUUACAUUAGCACAUGCAUAGUGAAUCAAUAAGUCAAUUUCAAUGGCACAUGAGCCCAAUUUCUUUUCUUAAGGUUCACCAUCAUUUACCAUAGGACAUCUCCCUUUCAUCUUGUUAUUCACUCACUUGACAUCUUGAGGUAAUUAUCUAAGUUCAUGAUUCUUGAUGACUUAACAUCGAAGUCAUUUACAUACAUUAUUUCAGAAGCAUAAAAAUAUAGUUGAAACCAUUGGGGCAU